rnacentral:rRNA from 1 species
UACAGAGGUGGCAAGCGUUGUUCGGAAUUACUGGGCGUAAAGGGCGCGUAGGCGGUUCGUUAAGUCCUGUGUGAAAUCCCCCGGCUCAACUGGGGAACUGCACAGGAAACUAGCGGGCUUGAGUUCGGGAGAGGAAAGCGGAAUUCCGGGUGUAGCGGUGAAAUGCGUAGAUAUCCGGAGGAACACCAGUGGCGAAGGCGGCUUUCUGGACCGACACUGACGCUGAUGCGCGAAAGCUAGGGGAGCAAACGGG